AUACUGUAAAGAUGCUGCAUUUUUUGCUGUUAUAAAGUGUUAGACAUAAUCUUUACUGAUGUUUGUCUCUUUAUUUUAAGGUGUAUAUCUUCAAAUAACAAGAAUGUCAUUUUUUGUCCUGCCUUUAUUUCUGUAACUGUGUUCAUUUUCAUGAACAGAUACAGAGGAUAUGAUUUAAUUGUACAGCAGUUGUACUGAACAUUGAGUGAUGAGCAUGUCAUCAGUCAGUAGAUCCAGAGAUCAUCAGGAUGGCUUUACAACAUGACCUGCCAGCACACUGACAGUGCUGCUCAUGUCCCACAAGCAAAUAUAGAAGACUAUUAAUAGCAUCUCAUACACACAUACAGCAAAACAGCUGCUCAGUGACCAAGCAAAGACUCGGUACAAACAAACCAAGAUCUUCAAAUCAAACCCUGACUUUAAAGGACACGGAAAGAAUGGGAGACUUUCAAAACUUUGAACAAGACUUCUAUCAGUCUGGAUAUUAUAUGGAUGGUCAGCAGGAGGAUGUAUAUGGCUAUGAUCCAGUCUACGUCAAUCCAGAAUACCAUGAAGUUGAUAAUUCCGCACAUUUAGCAGAUGAAUAUACCACUACAGCAUCUUAUAGUGGACAAGUGUAUCAGCCUGUAGCGCUACCCGAGCAAACAGAAUAUAUAGACUCAUAUGAGGAAGA